rnacentral:rRNA from 1 species
AUACAUGAAGGCAAAAUCUCAACUUUAUUAGAAGAGACGCAUUUAAUAGAUAAAAAGGCAAUGCAUGUUUUUACAGUAUAGAAAUUGGUGAUUUAUAAUAACUUAGCAAAUCGCAAAAUGAAAACAGGCGAUAAAUCAUUCAAGUUUCUGACCUAUCAGCUUUCGACGGUAUGGUAUUGGCUUACCGUGGCAGUGACGGUUAACGGGGGAUUAGGGUUCGAUUCCGGAGAGGGAGCCUGGGAAACGGCUACCACAUCUAAGGAAGGCAGCAGGCGCGCAAAUUACCCAAUUCUAACAGUUUGAGAGAGGUAGUAACAAGAAAUAACAAUACAAGGCAAUUAAAAUGCUUUGUAAUUGGAAUGAUAGAAAUUUAAACCUCUUUUAAAGUAUCAAUUGGAGGGCAAGUCUGGUGCCAGCAGCCGCGGUAAUUCCAGCUCCAAUAGCGUAUAUUAAAAUUGUUGCAGUUAAAAAGCUCGUAGUUGAAGUUCUGCUAAAAGUAACCGGUCUGCUUUUAAUAAAAGUGGUAUCUUGGUGUGUAUUUAGCAAUGAUGUCCCUUGAAGUGUUUUUUACUUUAUUGUAAUAAAGCAUAUUCAGGACUUUUACUUUGAGAAAAUUAGAGUGUUUCUAGCAGGCCGACGCUUUGAAUACUGCAGCAUGAAAUUAAUAAGA